rnacentral:rRNA from 14 species
UUUUGAAGCUUGUUCCUUUGCUAGAAUAUAAAUAAGCCAGCAUAUGUUUCACAUUGCUUUAGUGCUUUGUUCUUUUCUAUUUUAUUCUUUAUGAUUAAAGUAGUUUCUAAGGAAAACUCUGUUC